rnacentral:tRNA from 1 species
UUAGGGAGACCUAUUGAAGUCUACUGAAAGAUACAAAAAUAAGUAGAGAUUCAAUCAAUCCCAAGGUCGGACUAGGGAAAAAUUUAAGCCUUCAAACUAAUAACUGGUUCGGUUGAAAGAACAUGGGCUAUUAGCUCAGGUGGUUAGAGCGCACCCCUGAUAAGGGUGAGGUCCCUGGUUCAAGUCCAGGAUGGCCCACCUGUCAGCCAACAAGAAACAGUAAUCAGCAAUUAAGUUAAUUGAAAGCUGAAAAUUGUGGAUAUGGUAACUGGUGAAUCAAGAGAGGGGGUAUAGCUCAGUUGGUAGAGCGCCUGCUUUGCAAGCAGGAUGUCAGCGGUUCAAGUCCGCUUACCUCCACCAGAGUCAGACCGAAUCAUAAAUUAAAGGACAAAAAUCCAGCAUCUGAAGGGAAAUAAGCCAGGAAUGCUGGGCUUUGAGUCCAGUACAGCACCUUGAAAACUGCAUAGAACAUAGAGAUUACCAGCAGGUAGAAAUAGAAAACAGAAAAACUAUUUCGUGAAAGACAAGACAAGCUCCUAGCA